AGACAUGUCGGCGGCCCCGGGGCGGCGAGACGCGUUUAUAAAAGUGGAGAAAGCGACUCAUUCUGUACGCGUUAAGAGAAGGUUUACCUGGCAAAACCGGCGCUCAGCUCCGUUUCUGACCGGCGCGGCCGCACCGGGCAGCGUACACAGCCAGCUUUAGCGAACAGAAAGAAGAGCUCCAGAGCCGAUCGGUUUCUUCCCCGGCUGCGCAGGGAGCGCGAGGGGGACUGCCUCAGCCUGCUUCAUUUUAACAAGUCCCUUCUGCCCGAUGGGAAGGGCAGCGAGCAGAGCCCUGCUGCGUGCCCGCAGAGCGCCCGGCCCCGCCGCUGCAAAGCACUGCUGGGAGGCAGCCCGCCUCGGCCGUAAGGAAGGGGCCCUCGCCCAACCUGUUCCAAGCAAGUAACCGCGCUCAACUUGGAAACGCCGACCGCGCUCAGUACCUUCUGUAGAUAGAUGAUAUUUUUCCUUUCUUUUUAACUCAGCUCAACCGCUUAGAAAAGUCUUUCAUUUACGACUGCAGCCCUCCGCGGUGCAAACGGCAAUCUUUGAGGUCAAAACCGGUGCGCACCCACAGAAAGCGUUAAUACCGUUCACCGGUGGGAGCACAAAUGCCCUCUCGCAGCAUUUCACCAAAUGAAUGCAGCCGCAGAAGCCAAGUCUGAAAUACGUAAGUUCAACAGAUGUGUUUGUAUAUCCUCACAGCAGAGGGGUGCCUGCAUUCUGUGCCUGACCUUAUGUAAAGACUGGGCCUGUGGUAUAAAUGCAUGCAAGUUUAGGAAUCGGAGCCUGUGUAGCAAAGCUGCACCUCGGACUGCUGUAUAAAAACAGGUAGUAAAAGCUUAAUUACCAGCAGCAUUAUGCUGUCUAUAUUGUUAAAUGUGGGCUCUAUAAUUAAGAUGUAAAUUCGCGUGUGAGGAGUGAAUUACAGAGCUCUGGAAUGCAGAGGAAAAUCCAACUGUGCUGUAGAAACAUAGGACUUAAAAACAAUUACAAUGAAAAUAAAUCAGUUUUUAUCAAAUUUUAAACUGAGGCAUUUAGUCAUGUCAUACAGCAUUAGAAUGCUCUCUGAGGAACAAUUGGAUAAAUGUGGAUUUUGGAAUCAAAUCAAAACUUAAGUAAGACGUGCUUAUUCCAUGCGCAGGCAUCUUUGUAAUGUAUAAGCCCAAAAUACAGUUCCUAUAAAUUGAUUUUUAUGUGCCCUUUGGCAAACUAUGAAAAUAGAAUUGUAUUGUUUCUAGUGUCUCUCAGUGUCCAUUUGUAGAUUUAUAUUCAAAAAUGCUAUGUUUCAGUUUUAUGCUAAAAUGCCUUCAAAUCAUUUCAAGAGUAUGUGUUUUAUUACUUUAAGUGACCCAUACCCAGUCCUUAUAGAUGGGUCAUUUCAUCAAGUCGCUUCUACGUAUUAAGUUCUCUAGAAUAUAUCCUCCUUCGUAAGACAGCUGAUCCAUUUUGAAGUGUACCGAAGCACAGGUCAGCUUUAAUUUCUACUUUUGUUCAUUAUUUCCUAAGAUGACGCUUUUAUAUUCACAUGAUCUCUCUUUACUUCUGCCAUGGAAACCCUCCUUUCCGUAUUCCCAUAGGUUCUGCCACCUCGUUGACUUGUUCCCCCCCAUACCGUGCACCAUCAGAUAUGUUUUUCCUCUCUCUCCAUUUGCCAUCGCUAUGUUUCUCUCACCCAUCUCUCAUCCAAGCAAGUGGCUCUCUUCCCUGCCAGUGCUGCUGCUCAGGCAACCAGAAAUACAGUGCUAUAGUUUGCACGCUGAUAAACAAAGCAGUUGGCUUCUUCCCUGGGACUGAAAAUGCCACCUCCACCAGACCGGGGCCUGGAAUUCCAACUGCGUUCUUGAACUUGGAUUUCAGUUAUCCAUCAGUUUAGAAAAAGAAGAUAAGAAAUAUUACUGCAGGCAAAUAAGCUGGGUGUAAGCAUAGCUUCACUUUCCGAAGCUUUUCUUCAGAAAUAAAUAAAAUAGUACUGGGGGGAAAAAAAAAAAAAGGGGGGGGGGAAAAAAAAGCUCAUACAAUUUAAUUAAAUUUUAUCAGGGGAUGUAGAAUAAGAGCAUGCAUGGAAAUGCCCAUCUGCACUAACUUAUCAAAACGAACAGUGUAAAAUGUUACCACAAGGAGUCUAUACAAAGCAGUGGUAAUGGAAUCAGAGAGGGGAAGGAAAAAACCAUCCUGGGUGCGUGCACCAGUCAAGGAGCAUUACUGAUCAGCAUCUGUUUCCAUCUCUCUGUGCGCCUAUAAUUUGUCUUACGUAUAUUCCAUGUUUAAGUAUCUUCACAUUUAAAUACUACAGACAUUUCUAGCCACAUUCUCACAACACAACUACCUCAAGGCAACUGAAGAAGUAUGAUUCUGUGGCACUUCACAGAAGCUGCACAGUGAAUUGUGUCAAAUGUAUAUUUACCACAGGGCAAAGCUCGAGUCAUCUGGCAAGGAGCAAGAAUGUAAACUACAUUUUAUUAGCUGCAGAGAAUUAAUUUGAAAACAAGAACAUCGUUUGCUUAGCGGAACAUGUUGGGGGUUGGAUUCCAUGAUCUCCAGAGAUACCUUCUAACUUUACCAUUCUGUCCUUCUGCGAAUUUUUGCCAUACGCUGUGGUACCUUGUUCAAAGCAUAGCUGGAGAAGAUCGUUAAGUUUGAAAUAAAUAUCAGAUAAUCAUCAAA